rnacentral:rRNA from 1 species
UACGUAGGGUGCAAGCGUUGUCCGGAAUUAUUGGGCGUAAAGAGCUCGUAGGCGGUCUGUCGCGUCUGCUGUGAAAACUCGGGGCUUAACCCGGCCUGCAGUGGGUGACGGGCAGACUAGAGUGCGGUAGGGGAGACUGGAAUUCCUGGUGUAGCGGUGAAAUGCGCAGAUAUCAGGAGGAACACCGGUGGCGAAGGCGGGUCUCUGGGCCGUAACUGACGCUGAGGAGCGAAAGCGUGGGGGAGCGAACAGG